rnacentral:tRNA from 2 species
GCUCAAGUGUCCGAGUGGUUAAGGAGACAGACUUGAAUAUUCAUUCAAUGGUAUCUGUUACGCUUUGCGUGCGCAGGUUCAAAUCCUGUCUUGAGCG